CCUACGGGAGGCAGCAGUAAGGAAUAUUGGUCAAUGGACGCAAGUCUGAACCAGCCAUGCCGCGUGAAGGAUGAAUGCCCUCUGGGUUGUAAACUUCUUUUAUAGGGGACGAAAAAGGGUCUUUUUAGAUCAACUGACGGUACCCUAGGAAUAAGCACCGGCUAACUCCGUGCCAGCAGCCGCGGUAAUACGGAGGGUGCAAGCGUUAUCCGGAUUUACUGGGUUUAAAGGGUGCGUAGGUGGGUUGGUAAGUCAGCGGUGAAAUCUUCGAGCUUAACUCGGAAACUGCCAUUGAUACUAUCAGCCUUGAAUAUCCUGGAGGUGAGCGGAAUAUGUCAUGUAGCGGUGAAAUGCUUAGAUAUGACAUAGAACACCAAUUGCGAAGGCAGCUCACUACGGGAUUAUUGACACUGAGGCACGAAAGCGUGGGGAUCAAACAGGAUUAGAUACCCUGGUAGUCCACGCCCUAAACGAUGGAUACUCGACAUUUGCGAUAUACAGGUAAUGUNUGAGAGAAGANAUAAUAUACCACCACGAGAGAGNGCGAGUAGUAGAGUAAGUAAGUAGUAGCGUGAGAGAGACGACGACGACGACGAGGGAGGAGG
rnacentral:rRNA from 1 species